UACGGGGGGGGCAAGCGUUGUUCGGAAUUACUGGGCGUAAAGGGCUCGUAGGUGGCCAACUAAGUCGGACGUGAAAUCCCUCGGCUUAACCGGGGAACUGCGUCCGAUACUGGAUGGCUUGAGUUUGGGAGAGGGAUGCGGAAUUCCAGGUGUAGCGGUGAAAUGCGUAGAUAUCUGGAGGAAUACCGGUGGCGAAGGCGGCAUCCUGGACCGACAUUGACGCUGAGGAGCGAAAGCUAGGGGAGCAAACGGG
rnacentral:rRNA from 1 species